rnacentral:misc_RNA from 1 species
CGCAUAUUGCGCCCUUUGGUAUUCCGAAGGGCAUGCCUGUUCGAGCGUCAUUAUCAACCCUCAAGCCUGGCUUGUUAUUGGGUCUUGUCGUUUCUUGAGACGACAGACCUCAAAGAUAAUGGCGGUGUCGUGAAUGACCCCAGGUGCAGUGAGCUUUAUAAGCACGCAUGUUGGUGGUGUUCUCGUCCCGGUCUGGUUAAAUCUCUUUAACUGAACGGUUGACCUCGGAUCAGGUAGGAAUACCCGCUGAACUUAA